GAAACCGCAUGGUUUUGAUUUGAAAGGCGCUUUCGGGUGUCGCUGAUGGAUGGACCCGCGGUGCAUUAGCUAGUUGGUGAGGUAACGGCUCACCAAGGCCACGAUGCAUAGCCGACCUGAGAGGGUGAUCGGCCACAUUGGGACUGAGACACGGCCCAAACUCCUACGGGAGGCAGCAGUAGGGAAUCUUCGGCAAUGGACGAAAGUCUGACCGAGCAACGCCGCGUGAGUGAAGAAGGUUUUCGGAUCGUAAAACUCUGUUGUUAGAGAAGAACAAGGAUGAGAGUAACUGUUCAUCCCUUGACGGUAUCUAACCAGAAAGCCACGGCUAACUACGUGCCAGCAGCCGCGGUAAUACGUAGGUGGCAAGCGUUGUCCGGAUUUAUUGGGCGUAAAGCGAGCGCAGGCGGUUUCUUAAGUCUGAUGUGAAAGCCCCCGGCUCAACCGGGGAGGGUCAUUGGAAACUGGGAGACUUGAGUGCAGAAGAGGAGAGUGGAAUUCCAUGUGUAGCGGUGAAAUGCGUAGAUAUAUGGAGGAACACCAGUGGCGAAGGCGGCUCUCUGGUCUGUAACUGACGCUGAGGCUCGAAAGCGUGGGGAGCAAACAGGAUUAGAUACCCUGGUAGUCCACGCCGUAAACGAUGAGUGCUAAGUGUUGGAGGGUUUCCGCCCUUCAGUGCUGCAGCUAACGCAUUAAGCACUCCGCCUGGGGAGUACGACCGCAAGGUUGAAACUCAAAGGAAUUGACGGGGGCCCGCACAAGCGGUGGAGCAUGUGGUUUAAUUCGAAGCAACGCGAAGAACCUUACCAGGUCUUGACAUCCUUUGACCACUCUAGAGAUAGAGCUUCCCCUUCGGGGGCAAAGUGACAGGUGGUGCAUGGUUGUCGUCAGCUCGUGUCGUGAGAUGUUGGGUUAAGUCCCGCAACGAGCGCAACCCUUAUUGUUAGUUGCCAUCAUUCAGUUGGGCACUCUAGCAAGACUGCCGGUGACAAACCGGAGGAAGGUGGGGAUGACGUCAAAUCAUCAUGCCCCUUAUGACCUGGGCUACACACGUGCUACAAUGGGAAGUACAACGAGUUGCGAAGUCGCGAGGCUAAGCUAAUCUCUUAAAGCUUCUCUCAGUUCGGA
rnacentral:rRNA from 1 species